rnacentral:rRNA from 1 species
AACGCUGGCGGCGUGCCUAAUACAUGCAAGUAGAACGCUGAAGAGAGGAGCUUGCUCUUCUUGGAUGAGUUGCGAACGGGUGAGUAACGCGUAGGUAACCUGCCUUGUAGCGGGGGAUAACUAUUGGAAACGAUAGCUAAUACCGCAUAACAAUGGAUGACACAUGUCAUUUAUUUGAAAGGGGCAAUUGCUCCACUACAAGAUGGACCUGCGUUGUAUUAGCUAGUAGGUGAGGUAAUGGCUCACCUAGGCGACGAUACAUAGCCGACCUGAGAGGGUGAUCGGCCACACUGGGACUGAGACACGGCCCAGACUCCUACGGGAGGCAGCAGUAGGGAAUCUUCGGCAAUGGGGGCAACCCUGACCGAGCAACGCCGCGUGAGUGAAGAAGGUUUUCGGAUCGUAAAGCUCUGUUGUAAGUCAAGAACGGGUGUGAGAGUGGAAAGUUCACACUGUGACGGUAGCUUACCAGAAAGGGACGGCUAACUACGUGCCAGCAGCCGCGGUAAUACGUAGGUCCCGAGCGUUGUCCGGAUUUAUUGGGCGUAAAGCGAGCGCAGGCGGUUUGAUAAGUCUGAAGUUAAAGGCUGUGGCUCAACCAUAGUUCGCUUUGGAAACUGUCAAACUUGAGUGCAGAAGGGGAGAGUGGAAUUCCAUGUGUAGCGGUGAAAUGCGUAGAUAUAUGGAGGAACACCGGUGGCGAAAGCGGCUCUCUGGUCUGUAACUGACGCUGAGGCUCGAAAGCGUGGGGAGCGAACAGGAUUAGAUACCCUGGUAGUCCACGCCGUAAACGAUGAGUGCUAGGUGUUGGAUCCUUUCCGGGAUUCAGUGCCGCAGCUAACGCAUUAAGCACUCCGCCUGGGGAGUACGACCGCAAGGUUGAAACUCAAAGGAAUUGACGGGGGCCCGCACAAGCGGUGGAGCAUGUGGUUUAAUUCGAAGCAACGCGAAGAACCUUACCAGGUCUUGACAUCCCGAUGCUAUUUCUAGAGAUAGAAAGUUACUUCGGUACAUCGGUGACAGGUGGUGCAUGGUUGUCGUCAGCUCGUGUCGUGAGAUGUUGGGUUAAGUCCCGCAACGAGCGCAACCCCUAUUGUUAGUUGCCAUCAUUCAGUUGGGCACUCUAGCGAGACUGCCGGUAAUAAACCGGAGGAAGGUGGGGAUGACGUCAAAUCAUCAUGCCCCUUAUGACCUGGGCUACACACGUGCUACAAUGGUUGGUACAACGAGUUGCGAGUCGGUGACGGCGAGCUAAUCUCUUAAAGCCAAUCUCAGUUCGGAUUGUAGGCUGCAACUCGCCUACAUGAAGUCGGAAUCGCUAGUAAUCGCGGAUCAGCACGCCGCGGUGAAUACGUUCCCGGGCCUUGUACACACCGCCCGUCACACCACGAGAGUUUGUAACACCCGAAGUCGGUGAGGUAACCUUUUGGAGCCAGCCGCCUAAGGUGGGACAGAUGAUUGGGGUGAAGU